AUUGAACGCUGGCGGCAGGCCUAACACAUGCAAGUCGAGCGCGCGGCGGACGGGUGAGUAAUGUCUGGGAAACUGCCUGAUGGAGGGGGAUAACUACUGGAAACGGUAGCUAAUACCGCAUACCAUCAGAUGUGCCCAGAUGGGAUUAGCUAUAAGGUGGGGUAACGGCUCACCUAGGCGACGAUCCCUAGCUGGUCUGAGAGGAUGACCACCCACACUGGAAUUUAGCGACGGUCCAGACUCCGACGAGAGGCAGCAGUGGGGAAUAUUGCACAAUGGGCGCAAGCCUGAUGCAGCCAUGCCGCGUGUGUGAAGAAGGCCUUCGGGUUGUAAUGCACUUUCAGCGGGGAGGCGUUACCCGCAGAAGAAGCACCGGCUAACUCCGUGCCAGCAGCCGCGGUAAUAC
rnacentral:rRNA from 1 species